AGUGAACGCUGGCGGUAGGCCUAACACAUGCAAGUCGAACGGCAGCACAGUAAGAGCUUGCUCUUACGGGUGGCGAGUGGCGGACGGGUGAGGAAUACAUCGGAAUCUACUUUUUCGUGGGGGAUAACGUAGGGAAACUUACGCUAAUACCGCAUACGACCUACGGGUGAAAGCAGGGGAUCUUCGGACCUUGCGCGAUUGAAUGAGCCGAUGUCGGAUUAGCUAGUUGGCGGGGUAAAGGCCCACCAAGGCGACGAUCCGUAGCUGGUCUGAGAGGAUGAUCAGCCACACUGGAACGGAGACACGGUCCAGACUCCUAAGAGAGGCAGCAGUGGGGAAUAUUAGACAAUGGGCGCAAGCCUGAUACAGCCAGACCGCGUGGGUGAAGAAGGCCUUCGGGUUGUAAAGACCUUUUGUUGGGAAAGAAAAGCAGCAGGUUAAUACCCCGCUGUUCUGACGGUACCCAAAGAAUAAGCACCGGCUAACUUCGUG
rnacentral:rRNA from 1 species